rnacentral:rRNA from 1 species
UACAGAGACUGCAAGCGUUAUUCGGAUUCACUGGGCGUAAAGGGUGCGCAGGCGGCCGAGUGUGUGAGGCGUGAAAGCCCGGGGCUUAACCCCGGAAUUGCACCUCAAACUACACGGCUAGAGCAUUGGAGAGGGUAGCAGAAUUCAUGGUGUAGCAGUGAAAUGCGCAGAUAUCGGGAGGAACACCAAUGGCGAAGGCAGCUCGCUGGGACGUUACUGACGCUGAGACGCGAAAGCGUGGGGAGCAAACAGG